ACCUCCUACACACGCCAAGCCAGUCAAUCUAAUCAAUUCCUUUCCUUUCCAUUCCCACAUUCUCACUGUAAAUUGCUUGAGGAAAGGGAAAAAAGAAAAAUAAAAUAUGACAAGUGCUGCUACUACUUCUUCUACUUUGAGUUCAUCAACAACUCUUGUUCAAUCCUCACAUACUUUUAAUGGUGCCUUUGGCAAGGUUUCUAAACCCAAUUCAUUUACUUUUACUUCCAGGAAAGCAAUUAGAACUGUUGUGAAGGCUUCUCGGGUUGAUAAAUUCUCCAAGACUGAUAUCAUUGUUUCCCCAUCCAUUCUCUCUGCUAACUUUGCUAAGUUGGGAGAACAGGUCAAAGCUGUAGAGCUGGCAGGAUGUGACUGGAUACACGUUGAUGUAAUGGAUGGACGUUUUGUUCCUAAUAUUACCAUUGGACCUCUUGUUGUAGAUGCAUUGCGGCCAGUGACUGACCUCCCAUUGGAUGUGCAUCUGAUGAUUGUUGAGCCUGAGCAAAGAGUGCCAGACUUUAUAAAAGCUGGAGCAGACAUUGUCAGUGUCCAUUGUGAACAAUCUUCCACUAUUCAUUUACACCGUACAGUUAAUCAAAUUAAAAGUCUUGGAGCUAAAGCCGGAGUCGUUCUGAACCCUGGCACACCGUUAUCCACCAUUGAAUAUGUCCUUGAUGUGGUCGACCUUGUGUUGAUAAUGUCUGUAAAUCCUGGAUUUGGUGGUCAAAGUUUCAUCGAAAGCCAAGUAAAAAAGAUCUCAGACUUGAGGAGAAUGUGCGUGGAGAAGGGUGUGAACCCAUGGAUUGAAGUUGAUGGUGGAGUUACUCCUGCCAAUGCAUACAAGGUUAUAGAGGCUGGGGCAAAUGCUUUGGUAGCUGGUUCUGCUGUUUUUGGAGCUAAAGAUUAUGCUGAAGCUAUUAAAGGUAUCAAAGCCAGCACAAGACCAGUGGCGGUUCCUGCAUAGAACGUGUCAAGUACAUAUGUGAUUUCAGCAGUCAUCGUUGCUGUAAGAAACUUCUGUCUUAUUGAAACUUACAACAGGAGGAAUAUAAUGGCGGAUGUUAUGCUGUUUCAUGCUGUUGCAACAUUAAUCAUUUGCUGAGAGAUGUACAAAUAAGGUCCAUUUGUAAGUUACGAAAAGGUGCUUGUGUACAAUGUCUUCAUAUAGAAGCGUAAAUAAGUGUUGUUUUGUUGUAACAAUUAGCCUUGUUAAUUAAUGCUUGUUUGCGAAGCAUUGUCGUUGUAUCCUAUUUCUGUUAGCAGCAAACAUACCUAAAAUUGAUGAAAAAUUCUUAAUCGUCUA